rnacentral:rRNA from 1 species
UACAGAGGGUGCGAGCGUUAAUCGGAAUUACUGGGCGUAAAGCGCACGUAGGCGGCUUGGUAUGUCGGGUGUGAAAUCCCCGGGCUCAACCCGGGAACUGCGUCCGAUACUGGGGGGCUUGAAUCCGGGAGAGGGAUGUGGAAUUCCAGGUGUAGCGGUGAAAUGCGUAGAUAUCUGGAGGAACACCGGUGGCGAAGGCGGCAUCCUGGACCGGUAUUGACGCUGAGGCGCGAAAGCUAGGGGAGCAAACGGG